GACGCUGGCGGCGUGCCUAAUACAUGCAAGUCGAACGGUCUUUCUAUGGAAGCUUGCUUCCACUGAGAAGAUAGUGGCGAACGGGUGAGUAACACGUGGGUAACCUGCCCAUAAGAGGGGGGAUAACAUCCGGAAACGGGUGCUAAUACCGCAUAGUUUUCUUGAUCGCAUGAUUGAGAAAGGAAAGACGGCCUUUGUGCUGUCGCUUAUGGAUGGACCCGCGGCGUAUUAGUUAGUUGGUGAGGUAACGGCUCACCAAGACGAUGAUACGUAGCCGACCUGAGAGGGUGAUCGGCCACAUUGGGACUGAGACACGGCCCAAACUCCUACGGGAGGCAGCAGUAGGGAAUCUUCCGCAAUGGACGAAAGUCUGACGGAGCAACGCCGCGUGAGUGAAAGAAGGUUUUCGGAUCGUAAAACUCUGUUGUCAGAGAAGAACAAGUUGGAGAGUAACUGCUCCAGCCUUGACGGUAUCUGACCAGAAAGCCACGGCUAACUACGUGCCAGCCGCCGC
rnacentral:rRNA from 1 species